GAAGAAGCGGGGAAAACUUUCACACUUAGAAAAAAAUUGCGCCCGACCCCAAAACUGAAACAGAUCGAAAACCCGACCCCAACUCUCGCUCGACUCCUUCAUUCUGAGCUCACCCCAAAACAGAUCUCCUCCCAAACUCGAUCUCCAUUCUCAACCCGACCCCAAACUUGACCUCCUCCUCCAUUCUCUAGCUCAGACCCGGACCCAGCCUCCUCCGCCUUUCUCCGCAUCCGCCUCCGCCUCCGACCCCAACCUUAACCCCCUCCUCCUUUCUCCUUCUUCGUCUCAGAAACAAUGAACGCGAAGAACACCCCCACAGAGACCACCGGCGAGUCUGGAUUCCUGGGAACCAUCUCCGCCUCAUCGAUUCGAAACCUCCACCCCAGAUCCAUCUCAACCAAGCACGGAAAAUCCUUCUUCAGCCCCAAAAUUGCCGCACCAAUUGCCCCAAAAUUGCUCGCCCUCGAAAGCGUUUCGCCGAGCUCGUUGAAGGACAAGGUUUAUAGGAUCUUCAGCAGGGAAAAGCGUAAGCUCGCCGGUAGAAAGGCUUGGGCUUUGAGUUGUCAGUUCUAAUUUCUAAGAAAAGAAUAAAAUUAGAAUGAUGGGCACUAACUAUUCUGGGGAAGGAAGCACUGGCGGAAUCAUACAGAAAGUGAUGGAAACUAUUUUCAAAAGAGUGGAGACAACGAAAGAUAACACGGAGUUCUUGAUCAGGGUAUCGUUUAUUGAGAUAUUCAAGGAGGAAGUGUUUGACUUGCUUGAUCCAAAUUCAUCAACUCUCUAAAAAUGAUGGGGCAGCUACUACAAAGCCUAUAGCAAGAGUGCCUAUUCAAAUUAGUUAGAGAAACAGUGAGUGGAGGGAUAACACUUGCUGGUGUGACUGAGCCAGAGGUUAGGACGAAGGAAGAUAUGGGAUCAUAUCUGGUUCGAGGUUCUUUAGCUCGUGCUUCAGGGAGCACAAACAUGAACAGUCAGUCAAGUCGCUCACAUGCUAUAUUUACAAUAACCAUGGAGCAAAAGAAGAUUUCUCACUGUCUGAAUGGAGAAAAUAAUGAUGAUAUCGGUGAUGACAUACUAUGUGCAAAACUCCAUUUAGUUGACCUAGCAGGUUCUGAGCAGGCAAAACGAACAGGUGCAAAUGGCAUGCACUUGAAAGAAGGUAACUAUAAUGUUUCUUGGAUAGAAGCUUUUUCUUGUAUAAAGGAACUAUACAAUGGGAUUUGAUGGGGCUGUGGCAAGAUUAACCCUUUAUGUUUUUACAGUGGCUCUAGUAGUCUUUCACUCUCAUUGCAUUAUUGCUCUUAAA